CCGCCAGCUCCCCCACCGCCGCCAACCCUGGCCUUGGCAAAUACUGAAAAACCAUCCUUGAGCAGGUCAGAGCAAGCAGGGCGAAAUGCUCUAUUAUCUGAUAUCACCAAGGGAAAAAAGCUAAAGAAGACUGUUACAAAUGACAGAAGUGCUCCAAUUCUAGACAAACCCAAAGGACCUGGUGGAGGUGGUGGUGGC